AGAUGGAGAUUCUACAAUGCACAGAUCGACGUUUCCAAAAUAUAUGUGAUUCAACGAAUGAACUUAUGAGUUAUGAUGACACAGCAUUCGUGUCCACCUAUUACGAGAGGUCAUCUUUAAGACUGUUGACAGACCACGGAAGAAUAUUCAUCAAAGGGAGAUCUGGUUCUGGCAAGUCAAGGCUUGGUCUUAGACUUCUGUCGAAACUAUCUGAAGACAACAGCAGAGUACCUGUUUUACUGACAUCAGCUGAGGAAUGGAAACUGAUACCCAAAAGAACUGGCCGUGAUCGACGCAGGUACAUUGUGAUGUUAGAUAACAUAUUUG